AUGGACGGAGGCCAGUCGCCGCGGCCUCAGCAGCACCACCGCAUGCCGGAGCGGGAGGGCAACAACAACUACGACGUUGAGGGCAUGGACGGUGCAGCAGAAGGGGAUUGGUGGCAGAACAGUUCUUCUAACGCGCUGCUUCGGUACGACGACCGCGGGAGCGCAUGCGAGCCGCUCAUGCGGAAGCGCACCAUCAACACCACCUCCCAGAUCGCCAUUGUUGGCGCCAACAUUUGCCCCAUCGAGAGCCUCGACUAUGAAGUUGUGGAGAACAACCUUUUCAAGCAAGACUGGCGGUCAAGAAAGAAGAAGCAGAUAUUUCAGUACAUUGUUAUGAAGUGGACUUUGGUGCUUCUAAUCGGCCUGUUGACUGGACUUGUUGGCUUCUUCAAUAACCUUGCAGUCGAAAACAUUGCUGGCUUAAAAUUGCUAAUCACAAGUGACCUUAUGCUCAAGCAAAGGUAUUUCACUGCAUUUUUGGCAUAUGGAGGUUCCAAUCUAGUCUUGGCAGCAGCAGCUGCAGCAAUAUGUGCUUACAUUGCACCUGCAGCUGCUGGAUCUGGUAUUCCUGAAGUUAAAGCAUAUCUUAAUGGAGUUGAUGCCUAUUCCAUACUGGCUCCUAGUACACUCUUUGUGAAGAUAUUUGGUUCAAUACUUGGAGUUUCAGCUGGAUUCGUACUUGGAAAGGAAGGUCCAAUGGUACAUACGGGAGCGUGCAUUGCAAACUUACUUGGUCAGGGAGGGUCACGCAAGUACCAUCUUACAUGCAAUUGGCUAAGAUAUUUCAAGAAUGACAGGGAUAGGCGGGAUUUGAUUACGUGUGGGUGCGCAGCUGGAGUGGCCGCUGCCUUCCGCGCACCUGUUGGUGGCGUCCUGUUUGCUCUUGAGGAAGCAGCAUCAUGGUGGCGAAGUGCUCUUUUAUGGAGAGCAUUCUUUACAACUGCUGUUGUUGCUGUCGUGUUGAGGACUCUGAUUGAGUUCUGUCGCAGUGGAAAGUGUGGUCUCUUUGGGCAAGGUGGAUUGAUUAUGUUUGAUCUAAGUUCAACUGUUGCAACCUAUAGUAGUCCGGAUCUACUUGCAAUAAUUCUCCUUGGAAUAAUUGGUGGUAUAUUCGGAGGCCUCUUCAACUUUCUCUUGGAUAAAAUUCUUCGUAUUUAUAGUAUUAUCAAUGAGAGAGGUGCUCCGUCCAAGAUCCUUCUCACUAUAAUAGUAUCAGUUAUCACAUCAAUGUGCUCGUAUGGCCUCCCUUGGCUUGCUUCGUGCACUCAAUGCCCUGAGGAUGCCGUGGAGCAAUGUCCUACCGUUGGUCGCUCUGGCAACUAUAAGAACUUUCAGUGCCCACCAGGGUAUUACAAUGGUAUGGCAUCACUUUUCUUCAAUACAAACGAUGAUGCCAUACGCAAUCUUUUCAGCACUGGAACCGCAACCGAGUACCACAUGUCUAGUCUUUUCAUCUUCUUCAUCGCAAUUUACUGCCUUGGACUUGUAACUUAUGGAAUUGCCGUCCCAUCUGGUCUCUUCAUCCCUGUUAUCCUUGCCGGAGCCACAUACGGUCGAAUAGUGGGCACGCUCUUAGGAUCCAUAUCAAGUCUUGACCCUGGACUUUUUGCGCUUCUUGGUGCGGCGUCUUUUCUCGGUGGGACAAUGAGAAUGACUGUGUCUGUCUGUGUGAUCCUUCUAGAACUCACCAAUGAUCUACAAAUGCUCCCUUUGGUCAUGCUUGUUCUUCUAAUAUCGAAGACCAUAGCGGAUAACUUUAACAAAGGGGUUUAUGAUCAGAUAGUGGUAAUGAAAGGUUUGCCGUACAUGGAGGCUCAUGCUGAACCGUACAUGAGACAUUUGGUUGCUGGUGAUGUUGUGUCUGGUCCACUAAUCACCUUUUCAGGUGUUGAGAAGGUAGGGGACAUUGUUACCGCGUUGAGGAUCACAGGCCACAAUGGAUUUCCAGUGGUUGAUGAGCCACCUCUAACAGAAGUGCCUGAGUUGGUUGGGCUUGUGAUCAGGUCUCAUCUAUUGGUUUUGCUGAAAGGCAAGAUGUUCAUGAAGGAGCCAGUGAAAAUGAGUGGUAGCUUUGUUAUGGAAAGAUUUGGUGCCUUUGAUUUUGCUAAGGCAGGGUCAGGGAAGGGUUUGAAAAUUGAGGAUCUACAUUUCACUGAUGAGGAGAUGCAAAUGUAUGUUGAUCUCCAUGCAAUUGCAAACACCUCGCCAUAUACGGUGGUUGAGACAAUGUCACUAGCAAAAGUUGCACUCCUAUUCCGAGAACUGGGAUUGAGGCAUCUCUUGGUUGUUCCAAAGACCCCAGACAGGCCUCCCAUUGUUGGAAUUCUCACAAGGCAUGAUUUUGUGGCGGAACAUAUCCACGGCCUGUUCCCUAGUCUCAAUCCUCACAACUUUCAUUCAGCCUCAAUGGGAGGUUGA
rnacentral:rRNA from 1 species